GCGCGUGGCGCGAGACUGGCCGUUGCGAGCGUUGCCUGGGGCUUGCGGGCUGGCCGCGUACGCGGGGUUGCCAUGCGGGGGGAGGUGGGAACCGCUUGGUCUCAGCGCGCCUGCCCGAGACCCAUAGCCUCGGCGGCCGACCCCAGAGUGAGGCGCGCAGAGAGCCUGGACCCACAGCGGCUGACCCCACAGUGGUGCUCCACUGCCUGAGCCUGCCCCAGGGGCCCCCGUAGAGUACUGACCCCUGAGGACCCUGUGCAGCGACCCUGCCCGAGCCUGCAGAGAGCCUUGCCCCAUAGCACCAGGGAGGCUGACCCUAGAGCGACUGCUGCAGCGACACGGCCUGAGCCUGCAAAAGUGACCAACAGAGCCGCGCUGCCGGCGUCUGCAGCGAGCCCUCACAGACUGCCCGAGUAACGGGGCCUUAGCCCAGAGUGACCGAUACAGUGACGCCGCCUGAGUCCGCAGAGAGCGUGCACUGAUACCCCAAGUACGUGGGGCUGACCCCAUAGUGACUGACGUAGCAAUGCUGUUUUUGUCUGCAGAGAGCCUGCACCAAUAGCCCUGUGAGAGAGGGACUGGCCCAGGAGCGACCAACACAGCGACCCUGCCUGAGUCUGCAGAGAGCCUGGACCAGUGGCCCCAAGAGAGUGGACUGACCCCAGAGUGACCAACACAGUGACACUGCCUGAGUCUGUAGAGACCUAUAGCAUCAGAGGAGGGGACUGACCCCAUCUACAGAGAGCCAGGACCAAGAGUCCCGACGGGAGGGGGGACUGAUCCCAGCCUAAUUGACGGUGCAAUAUUUGCACAAGUCUGCAGAGCCUGGAAUGACAGCUUUGAGAGGGAACUGCCCUGUGCAUCUCUGCAGAUUGUUAAUACCAUGACCUAUAGACAAUGACACUAUCUCCCUGCUGAUCACAGCCUGAAGGAGAGGGAUGAGCAUAUUACCAACAGCUCCACAGUCUGCUGUAGGGGGUGGCUCUCUUUCUUGCCACAAAUGGGUAUUGCUUCAGUGAGGGCCACCUCUCUGAUCCCAUAGUGCAAGGCUGGCAACCAGUAUUCUGCAUGAGGGGCCCUCUGCUCUGGGGGAUUGGGGGUGUUUCCAUUUCCUUCCUGGCUACCUGGAGAGACCGGGAGGCCCUCCCUCCCCCUCAUGGACUAGUGGCAGUGGUGGGAGCAGCAGCAGGGUGCUCUUCCCCUCAGACUCCAAUGACUCCCUCAGAUGAAGGCUGUUGGCAGACUCAGGCAAUUAUUGCUGCGUUGCAUGUGUUUUCAUACUUUUCUUUGCAUCCAUGAGGACUAGAAACUUUCCUUUUUGUUAAAUGAAAGCUGAGAUUCUGAUAAUCACAUAACUUUAGGAGCCAGGGUCACAUGCCUGUGCCUUAGUCUGGCCCUGCUUAUGGGGUAUCCAAACUCUGUUAAAGGGGAGCUAAGCUAUGAUGCCUAGAAAAGCCCACUUGAUCAUACUCUGAACAUCUGCCCAACCUAUUGUGAGUGGUAUCUCAUCUUGAUGCUUAGUGGGCAGAUCCUGGGGAGGACCCCUCACACCCCCACUGCAGCCCUCAGUAGUGCUGGUUUACAUGAGGCUGGCCUUUAUGUGCUGCUUACUUGUUCUCAGCACAGCUCAUUCUGCAUUGGCCAUUUCACUGUUGUGGUGGAGCUGAUGACUGGAGCCUGAAAUUACUGCUAUUGGUGUUUUCACUGUCAUUGACUUACGAGAUGGGAAAAGGGAGAUGAUUCUGUCAGCAGCAUUCUGGAUGUCUUCAAGGAACAGAGAGCAAGUCUUCUCCCUGGAUUCAUUUAAAAGUCUUUUCCCUCCUGUAUGACUGACCCUCGAUAAUUAUGACCACAGCGCUGAUGGUAAUAGCUGGUACAUUGGCAGGUUGUCAGCCACUUCAUGUCUAGAAUCUUGUUAGCCAAUACAUAUGCUAGGCAUAGUAUUGUAUAAGGGUUGGGAAGUUAUGUUAAUUGAAUGUAGUAUUCUCUCCCCACAAUUCUUUCCACCCAUGUCAGGUUUCCCAAAACACCAUGCAUUAGCUCAGGGGUGGCUAACCUGUGGCUCUGGAGCCACAUGCGGCUCUUCAGAAGUUAAUAUGUGGCUCCUUGUAUAGGCACCGACUCCAGGGCUGGAGCUACAGGGGCCAACUUUCCAGUGGGCCGGGGGGUGCUCAGUGCUCAUCCCCUGGCUGUGCCACAGGCCCUGCCCGCACUCCACCUUCCCGCCCCCUCCCCUGAGCCUGCUGUGCCGUCACUCCUCCUCCCCAGAGCCUCCUGCAUGCCACAAAACCACUGAUCAGGAGGUGUGGGGAAGGAAUGGGAGGCGCUGACUGGUGAGGCUGCUGGUGGGUGAGACACUGGGAGUGGGUAGUGGGAGCUGCUUGGGGUCUGCUGACAUAUUACUGUGGCUCUUUGGCAAUGUACGCUGGUAAAUUCUGGCUCCUUCUCAGGCUCAGGUUGGCCACCCCUGCAUCAGCUGAAGUAAGCUUUGGUUUAAGUAGAUAGGAAAACUGUCAGGAUUGGGACAUAGCAAGAGGUAGGGAGUUACUCUCAUAGGCUAAUAAUGGAAUAUCCCAAAGGAAAAGGACAAAUACAUGAAUGUUCUAUCAUGGUACAAAACUAGAAGGUGCCUUCAUGCUCCUUAGUACCUGGACUGCAUGUAUUCAGAACAAAGAGAUAAGGGAUACAUAAUGAUACCAGAAGAACAAGGUAGAAAGCUGAUUGGUUAUAUCUAGUUUCAGAGGAUGUACAUAGCAUCCUUUACUUGUAAACGGGUAGGGUUUACAAAGAUGGUAUUAGGUGGUGUAAAAUUGGGAGCACACCUUCUGUAUAAGGUGAAUGUGACAACCCUGCACAAGAUGACUUCCUGGAGAUUGGUAUCAUAUUGGACCUUUUUCCAGUACUAUAUUAGUCUUAGGUUUUAACAAUAAACCAAACUGACAUUUAGUCUUUUGCAUAUAUUUCACAAUGAACCAAAGUGAGGUCAAGCAAUUCUGUCAGAAAUCUAAUCCUUUUUCCCGCUUGUAGUUGAAGUAUUCUUGUGAUAAUAUUUAUUCUCUGCUAGCUUCCUGCCAUGUAGAAUUUGUGUAGCUGCUUUGGGGUUAAUUGUCUUUGCAUCAGGAAGCUUGGUAGAAGUUAGCACUAAGGCCUUUCUCUUUCCCAUGAGUCUGUCAACUUGUGAUCCUGAUAAAGCAUGGUGAGGGUAUGUGAAUAGCAACUGUUAACAACUAGCUUCACUGGGAGCAUAGGAGGGAAAAGCCAAUGAGAAGAUUCACCUAUUGCAGACUGUAGUGCCCUGCCGGUUUGAGGAUUGCAUCUGCAGCCACAUCCUCAUACAGGUGCUCCCAUUCUUCCUCCAUGCAGGCUUCCAUCUUCACCCUUGUCAUCACACCACGCUCAUGUUCCGUGCCGUUGCAGUCCUUCCCACCCUUGUUCCAGGUGCUGCACUGGUUUCACUUGCUUCUGGUUCAGUGCCAGAGGUGUGCUAUAAAUAGGGCUGCUACACCCAAAAAGGUAGGUGUUGCCUUUUAUUGGCUCUUUAGGAUUUAUACAUAUAAGUUCAAAAAUGCUUGGGUUUCUUUCUUUUCAAAGAUAUUUCUAAUGUAGCAGAACAAGCAGAAGAAAAAGCAAGUCCUCAGUGCUCUUCUCUGGGGUGGAGGACCCUGUCAAGAUCUCUUUAGGAUCUGAACAGAGUUGUCACAGGAGGCUACGAGCUACAGCUGUUCCUCCAUCUUCAACUCUGUGGGGGGGAUACUGAGACUCCAUUUGUGUCCUCCAACGAUCUGGUAAAGAGGUGGAAGAGAGGGCCUGAUACAGGUAAUGCUAAAGAAGCACAAUGAUUCUGUCUUUGCUCUUUAUAUAUGAAAAAGAAGCAACAAAGCCAGACUUUCUUGUUUUGGCACUAUAGUCCACCCACCCUUAAUCUAUAAAGAUCUGUAGCGGGGUUCUCAUGUUCCUUCAUUUCAUGGGUUACCCUGGGCUCCCCCACUUCCAACCUCUUUAUUCUCCCAGCCAAUGUGGGGGCCCCUGCAGGAACACCAGAACCUUAGUAGAAGUGGGGGGCCCCCCACUGGUGCCUGAACUGUGGUCCUGUCCCCUGUUCCUCCUCUUCCCCCUGGGGCCCUGCCACCGGCCAGGCUAGAAGUCAGAGCAGGACCACAGUAAGAGAUGCCCAAGGAGCCUGGGCUGCUGUGGUGAGUCCUGGACCCUCCACCUGCCCUGGGUGGGGGGGCGGGGGACCUGAGAACAGCCCCUGGCUUGUGUCCCAGGGCAGUUGGACGGUCUAGGGCUUCCCACAGCAGCCCAGGCCCCCUCGUUGGCUCUUACCAUGGCCAGUCUCCAACUUCUGGCCUGGCCGGGAGUGGGGCCUCAGGGGAAAGGAGGAGCAGGGGGGUGAGGUUCCAUGGUGAGUGGUAUGCGGGGGGAGAGGAGGGGCAAAAGUUCUUUGUACCCAGGCCCCAAUAAAUUUUAAUCCGCCUCCGUCAAAAGGACUCCACAAACCAUUCCCCUAUGUAGUUUGAGAUUCAGAUGUUACCCCAAGAUUUAGAUCUCAGGCACUCCAAUGAUGGUUUACCUAAGAGUAUGCAAUUUGCUUUAUGCAAAGGGGUAAUAAGAUAGUGGUCCACCGUAGAGGAAUUGCCAGGGUGUUACCAGGGGUCUUGUCUCCGACCCGCAGAGAGCUCCCCAGAGCAAGCUAAUUGUGCUAACCCCUUGGAAGGACACUGAUACCGCCUUCUGCUCAAGGAUAAACACACAGGCAGUAAUUCUUCAAAAACAAAAUAAUAUUUAUUUAGAAGAAGUAAGUAGUUACAAUGUAUCUAAUAAAGCAAGAAAGAAUAUGUAAAACACAAUAGAAUUACAUUUAAAGAGUUGUAUAAUAAAGCGGCAAAACAAAAUAAUACAAAAAAACCACAGAAUAUACAGGAUACACCGACCAUAUAGCAGUUACACAGUAAUAGGCAUAUAGAGACCCUGCAUACACAAAGGUCUUAGUGUUAAUGUUAUAAUCCGAUGCCAUUAUUUGAUCUAAUGUAGCAUGCAUGACCUUUACACACACGUAAAAGAGACUAUUACAUUGUUACAGAUUUAAUGAAAUCAUUUGCUUAACACUAACAUCCUGUGAGCAGUGAUGGGUGGGGUGGAUCUCACUCAGACACAGGCAUCCAGCUUUAUUGACAGGCACACCCGAUCAUUCCUUUUUACCAGAGACAAAAUCACAACUUCUGCUGUUCUCACAGCCCUCCGAUACCGUCUGUAAAGGUCUUUCUGCUCUGUCACACAAGGAAGGAGGUGCUGUCAGGUUGCCGUUCAGGCUGCAGUGGUGGUUGGAACUGUUAGUACCGUCUUCCUCGGAAGCCUCGGUUUCUGCUGCCUUACAGACUUCCGUAGCUGCUGUGUUCUAAAGCUGCUGCUCUCUAGAAGAUUCUACUGUUGCUUCUGCAGGUAGCUGCUUUCCAGAAUCUUCUUAAGAUGCUGCUGCAGUUCUUGCUGCGUCUUGAGGUUUCUGAUCUUCACCAACCCAACCAAACCUGCUAGCUGUUGGUCUUAUAUACUGGUUGCUCCUGCAAGUGACUCGGGCUAUGUCAACGCGACAGCGGCACGGCUACAGCACCACAGUAGCACUUCUGGUGAAUACACUCUAAGCCACUGGUUUAGUAACUCCUGCCUUCAUGAGAGGCAGUAGCUAUGUUGACAGGCGAAGCUCUCCCACCGACGUAGCACUGUCCACAGAAGUGCUUAGGUUGGUAUAACUUACAUCCCUCAGAGAUGUGGAUUAUUCAUGCCCCUGAGUGACAUAAAUUAUACUGAAGUAAUUUGUAAUAUAGACAUAGCCUUGCUAGUUAAUUAAUAUAUUAUUCUGAUUAGUUUUUUAAUGAGAGAUGCAAUGUGUUACUCUAGUUCAGUGAAUCUCUUUUGAAGUUACAGGGGGCAAAGAGUGAAUGUGUUAUUGCACUGGAGAGGAAAGACUAGUCUUUUCUCUCUCUGGGAUUGCAUUAUCCACUUCUCGUCCAUGGAUAGAGAGCACUCUGAUUCAGCCAUUCCUGCCAGGGAGCCACAAACUCUCCUUCAGAUCCUGUGGAAGCUAGAACUACACAGGAUGAGAGCUCUGUAGGAUUUUUUGGUGGGGUGUGGGGAGGGCGCAAGAAGUAUUUGAAGGCAGGGACUGGCCACUUUCCAUGGCAUUGCCCCUUGCAGGCCCUACAGAUGACCUCGGAGAUUGGGAGUUAAUGUUGUUUGAAACACCAUUAUCUCCCAUGGAGCCUCCCUUCAUUGUGGAGAAACAGGCAAUGGCAAGCAGCUCCUUGCAG